rnacentral:lncRNA from 1 species
UCGGUUAGCUCUUUUUAAUUUCUAGUUACUUAGUGCGACAUGUCCUUUUGAUGGUAGAGCCACCUUCUCACUUUCGGGUGGCAGAGCCUACCAACAGAUGAAGCUGACUUCCGGGUGGUAGAGCCAACCUUCGAUGGAUCAAAACUUAUGCACUGAGUGCUUAGAAACUAUAUAGCCCAACCGGGAUACUAACACUUACAACAACAAUCAUUUAUUACAAUAAAAUAACAAUACACAACAUCCUCUCUUUGCUGGCUAGACUCACCCUUUUAUCACUCUCACACUACUAUUUUAUUACCAUGUCUAGACUAAUCCAAGGUAAAUAUCUUCUUUUUACAUGAUGGAGAACACUCUAGAAGGUUGCCUUGCUUUUCUUUCAACAGAUUCUUUUAAUUCAUGUAUCAAUCUUUGUUGGAGUUACGUCUCGUGGUGGUCGGAGCACUUUUCCUUUGUGAGCUAUAUAUAAGAGCACUCUCCUCCAUGUUAAUGGUGCCAACAACAUCGGUACGUACUUAGACUUAAUGAGACUUAAUACUUACCUAUGACUGACUUUAGUUCUCACCAUAAUGGUGGCUCGGGCGGUGAGAGAUGGUGUGAAAGGGAAC